CACGUAGGGGGCGAGCGUUGUCCGGAUUCAUUGGGCGUAAAGCGCGCGCAGGCGGCUCGGAAAGUCGGGUGUGAAAACCUGGGGCUCAACCCCGGGCGUGCAUCCGAUACUGCCGGGCUUGAGGCAGGUAGGGGAGAUCGGAAUUCCUGGUGUAGCGGUGAAAUGCGCAGAUAUCAGGAGGAACACCGGUGGCGAAGGCGGAUCUCUGGGCCUGUCCUGACGCUGAGGCGCGAAAGCUAGGGGAGCGAACAGG
rnacentral:rRNA from 1 species